GGAAAUGCUGCUCAUUUUAUUUCGACUUGUUUUCUCGUUUGCCCUAUAAUCAUGAAGUUGGCAAAACAACACCAAAAUGCGGGGGCGUAAGAGACGAAUUUUCCUGCGGUUGCCAUGGCAUUAGCAGGAAAAGAUGCUCUCUUCGGUAUCCGGUAUUGUUUUAGGAAGCACGUUGGAAUGUAGCGCGUCAGUUAAUGGGUAUAUAAACUGAAGGACGCUUAUUAGGUAGUCAUCUCGGUUUCGCUUGUGCUCGCCGUGACUCAGUUUUAAAUAUUUUUGUUUUUGUAGCAUGAAUAGAGAAGAUUUGGCUGCAGUCUUGGCGAAAUCAAAUGCUAAGAUUUUGGAACAAUUCGAAGCUAAGCUUAUAGUUUUGAAAAGAAGCAUCUCAAAAGAUCAAGAAGCGAGAAAGGAGUCGAUCGCUAAAAAAGUUAAGAAAGACUCGGCUGUAAAAUUUAAAAAAGGUAGCAACGAGAAGCAAUUUUUAUUUAACGAGUCAGUCGAAGAGAGGUUUGAUGCAGCAUUGGUGGCUUUAGACAGAGGGAAAAUUAGCCAAGGCUAAAGAAGAGCUAAACGAUGACGAUGGAAUUGGAGGUUCACAAAGUGAAGCUGGAGCAAGGGAACUCAGCGCUUGCUGUCGUACCGACCUUCUAUCUGCUGGUUUCUACAUCAAUGAUCAGAAGUCAGUAUGGGGACCUUCGAAGACGGGUACUUGGCUUGGGUAUGAACUUGAUUUUGGCAACUGCACGAUCUCUUUACCUGUUGCUAAGAUUGAUAAACUUCAACAUUCUAUUAUUCGUUUGAUUGAUUUGCCUAGUUGUAAUGCCAAAGAUAUCGCUAGUGUGGCUGGUAUAUUCACUUCACUUCACUUUAAUAAAUUGCGCAACCUA